AUUGAACGCUGGCGGCAGGCCUAACACAUGCAAGUCGAGCGGAUGAAGGGAGCUUGCUCCUGGAUUUAGCGGCGGAAGGGUGAGUAAUGCCUAGGAAUCUGCCUGGUAGUGGGGGAUAAUGUCCGGAAACGGGCGCUAAUACCGCAUACGUCCUGAGGGAGAUAGUGGGGGGUCUUCGGACCUCAUGCUAUCAGAUGAGCCUAGGUCGGAUUAGCUAGUUGGUGGGGUAAAGGCCUACCAAGGCGACGAUCCGUAACUGGUCGGAGAGGAUGAUCAGUCACACUGGAACUGAGACACGGUCCUGGCUCCUGCGGGAGGCAGCAGUGGGGAAUAUUGGACAAUGGGCGAAAGCCUGAUCCAACCAUGCCGCGUGUGUUGAGAAGGUCUUCGGAUUGUAAAGCACUUUAAGUUGGGAGGAAGCGCAGUAAGUUAAUACCUUGCUGUUUUGACGUUACCAGCAGAAUAAGCACCGGCUAACUUCGUG
rnacentral:rRNA from 1 species